rnacentral:rRNA from 1 species
ACAUUCCGAAAGGAAUGCUAAUACCGCAUACGCUCUACGGGGGAAAGCAGGGGAUCUUCGGACCUUGCGCUAAUAGAUGAGCCUAAGUCAGAUUAGCUAGUUGGUGGGGUAAAGGCCUACCAAGGCGACGAUCUGUAGCGGGUCUGAGAGGAUGAUCCGCCACACUGGGACUGAGACACGGCCCAGACUCCUACGGGAGGCAGCAGUGGGGAAUAUUGGACAAUGGGCGAAAGCCUGAUCCAGCCAUGCCGCGUGUGUGAAGAAGGCCUUUUGGUUGUAAAGCACUUUAAGCGAGGAGGAGGCUACUUAGAUUAAUACUCUAGGAUAGUGGACGUUACUCGCAGAAUAAGCACCGGCUAACUCUGUGCCAGCAGCCGCGGUAAUACAGAGGGUGCGAGCGUUAAUCGGAUUUACUGGGCGUAAAGCGUGCGUAGGCGGCUUUUUAAGUCGGAUGUGAAAUCCCUGAGCUUAACUUAGGAAUUGCAUUCGAUACUGGGAAGCUAGAGUAUGGGAGAGGGAUGGGUAGAAUUCCAGGUGUAGCGGUGAAAUGCGUAGAGAUCUGGAGGAAUACCGAUGGCGAAAGGCAGCCAUCUGGCCUAAUACUGACGCUGAGGUACGAAAGCAUGGGGAGCAAACAGGAUUAGAUACCCUGGUAGUCCAUGCCGUAACGAUGUCUACUAGCCGUUGGGGCUUUGAGGCUUAGUGGCG